CCUACGGGAGGCAGCAGUGGGGAAUCUUCCGCAAUGGGCGCAAGCCUGACGGAGCAACGCCGCGUGAGUGAAGAAGGUCUUCGGAUCGUAAAGCUCUGUUGACGGGGACGAACGUGCGAGAGGUGAAUAAUCUCUUGCAAUGACGGUACCUGUCGAGGAAGCCACGGCUAACUACGUGCCAGCAGCCGCGGUAAUACGUAGGUGGCGAGCGUUGUCCGGAAUCAUUGGGCGUAAAGGGAGCGCAGGCGGGCAUGUAAGUCUUUCUUAAAAGUUCGGGGCUCAACCCCGUGAUGGGAAAGAAACUACAUGUCUUGAGUACAGGAGAGGAAAGCGGAAUUCCCAGUGUAGCGGUGAAAUGCGUAGAUAUUGGGAGGAACACCAGUGGCGAAGGCGGCUUUCUGGACUGCAACUGACGCUGAGGCUCGAAAGCCAGGGGAGCGAACGGGAUUAGAUACCCCAGUAGUC
rnacentral:rRNA from 1 species